rnacentral:lncRNA from 1 species
GUCAUUUCAAUGUUAUAUUUAACUUUGACAUUAAAGUGCGAGGUUUGGCAUGCCAUAAAACCAGGUUCAACCCACCACUUUUAUUCCCCUUUAAAAGUGUCCUGUACCAAGUCAGGAAGAUGGCCAUUGUUAUAAUAUUGUUCGUUUCUGUGUGUGUUGCAUUUUAACGUUGAGUCGUUUGUGUUUUCUCUUAUUUUUGAGAUAAGACGUGGCACGGUACUUGUCUAUCUCAAAUUCAUGUAUUUGGUUUUGAUGUUAUAUUUGUUAUUCUCGUGGUGUUUUGUCUGUUGCUUGGUCCGUUUCUGUGUGUGUUGCGUUUCGGUGUUGUGUCGUUGUUCUCUUAUAUUUAAUGCGUUUCCCUCGGUUUUAGUUUGUUACCCCGAUUUUGUUUUUUGUCCAUGGAUUUAUGAGUUUUGAACAGCGGUAUACUACUGUUGCCUUUAUUUAUAA